rnacentral:rRNA from 1 species
UUUUCAGCCGCCGCGGUAAUACGUAGGGGGCAAGCGUUGUCCGGAUUUAUUGGGCGUAAAGAGCGUGUAGGCGGCCGUGCAGGUCCGUUGUGAAAACUGGAGGCUUAACCUCCAGACGUCGAUGGAAACCGAACGGCUAGAGUCCGGAAGAGGAGAGUGGAAUUCCUGGUGUAGCGGUGAAAUGCGCAGAUAUCAGGAAGAACACCCGUGGCGAAGGCGGCUCUCUGGGACGGUACUGACGCUGAGACGCGAAAGCGUGGGGAGCGAACAGGAUUAGAAACCCGCGUAGUCC